rnacentral:rRNA from 1 species
GACGUAGGGCGCGAGCGUUGUCCGGAUUUAUUGGGCGUAAAGAGCUCGUAGGCGGCUUGUCGCGUCGAUUGUGAAAACCCGCGGCUCAACUGCGGGCCUGCAGCCGAUACGGGCAGGCUAGAGUUCGGUAGGGGAGACUGGAAUUCCUGGUGUAGCGGUGAAAUGCGCAGAUAUCAGGAGGAACGCCGGCGGCGAAAGCGGGUCUCUGGGCCGGAACUGACGCUAAGGAGCGAAAGCGUGGGGAGCGAACAGG